GCCUCUGUGGAUGAAGUAAAUCACCUCUUGAACAUUCGGAUCGUCAUGAGAAUUUAUCGAGGAGAAGUGGGUUCGAUUCCCACCAGAGGCA